rnacentral:rRNA from 1 species
UACGUAGGGUGCGAGCGUUAAUCGGAAUUACUGGGCGUAAAGCGUGCGCAGGCGGUUCGCUGUGUCCUGUGUGAAAGCCCCGGGCUUAACCCCGGUAGCGGCCAAGUGAUACUGUCGUGCUAGAGUGCGGAAGGGGCUACUGGAAUUCUCGGUGUAGCGGUGAAAUGCGUAGAUAUCGAGAGGAACACCUGCGGCGAAGGCGGGUAGCUGGGCCGACACUGACGCUGAGGCGCGAAAGCCAGGGGAGCGAACGGG